UCCACCCACUGUUAAAUACUCUCUGAAGCU
rnacentral:piRNA from 1 species